rnacentral:rRNA from 1 species
CCUACGGGAGGCAGCAGUGGGGAAUAUUGCACAAUGGGGGGAAGCCUGAUGCAGCGACGCCGCGUGGGUGAAGGAGUAUUUCGGUAUGUAAAGCCCUAUCAGCAGGGAAGAACAAUGACGGUACCUGACUAAGAAGCACCGGCUAAAUACGUGCCAGCAGCCGCGGUAAUACGUAUGGUGCAAGCGUUAUCCGGAUUUACUGGGUGUAAAGGGAGCGCAGGCGGCGCGUUAAGCCUGGUGUGAAAGCCCGCGGCCCAACCGCGGGACUGCAGUGGGAACUGGCGUGCUGGAGUGCCGGAGGGGUAGGCGGAAUUCGUAGUGUAGCGGUGAAAUGCGUAGAUAUUAGGAGGAACACCAGUGGCGAAGGCGGCCUACUGGACGGUGACUGACGCUGAGGCUCGAAAGCGUGGGGAGCAAACAGGAUUAGAUACCCCGGUAGUC